rnacentral:rRNA from 1 species
UACGUAGGGGGCUAGCGUUGUCCGGAAUCAUGGGGCGGAAAGAGCGUGUAGGCGGUCCGGUAAGUCCGCUGUGAAAGUCGGGGGCUCAACCCUCGAAUGCCGGUGGAUACUGUCGGGCUAGAGUGCGGAAGAGGCGAGUGGAAUUCCUGGUGUAGCGGUGAAAUGCGUAGAUAUCAGGAGGAACACCGGUGGCGAAGGCGGCCCUCUGGACGGUGACUGACGCUGAGACGCGAAAGCGUGGGGAGCAAACAGG